UACCGUUUCCGUAGGUGUCUUUCUCAGGCUCGCCUACGGCCCGGGUCGACUUAAAAAACCCGCUCAGUCGAUUGCUUCGGCGAUCGGCCACGCAGGUCUUCUGUUCUGGAAGCUGUUCGGAAUUAACGCCGAAGAGUAACCAGCAGCUCUUGGAUCGUUGUUGAGGCGCCCAAGAGUUCACAGAUCACAUGCCUGCGACCACGUUAAUGUCGUGGCUCUGAUAUGACCGAACCCCCACCAGAAUUGGUCGGCGGAGUCGCGGAACCUGCGGAAGGAUCAUUAC
rnacentral:rRNA from 1 species